rnacentral:tRNA from 1 species
AGUAAGAUAGGAUAAAUUUUUAGUCCUUAAGGUUCAUACCCUUGUAGUGUUUUCUCUUAUUGU